rnacentral:rRNA from 1 species
AUUGAACGCUGGCGGCAGGCCUAACACAUGCAAGUCGAGCGGAUGAAGGGUGCUUGCUCCUGGAUUCAGCGGCGGACGGGUGAGUAAUGCCUAGGAAUCUGCCUGGUAGUGGGGGAUAACGUCCGGAAACGGGCGCUAAUACCGCAUACGUCCUGAGGGAGAAAGUGGGGGAUCUUCGGACCUCACGCUCUCAGAUGAGCCUAGGUCGGAUUAGCUAGUUGGUGGGGUAAAGGCCUACCAAGGCGACGAUCCGUAACUGGUCUGAGAGGAUGAUCAGUCACACUGGAACUGAGACACGGUCCAGACUCCUACGGGAGGCAGCAGUGGGGAAUAUUGGACAAUGGGCGAAAGCCUGAUCCAGCCAUGCCGCGUGUGUGAAGAAGGUCUUCGGAUUGUAAAGCACUUUAAGUUGGGAGGAAGGGCAGUAAGUUAAUACCUUGCUGUUUUGACGUUACCAACAGAAUAAGCACCGGCUAACUUCGUG